rnacentral:rRNA from 1 species
GACGAACGCUGGCGGCGUGCUUAACACAUGCAAGUCGAACGGAAAGGCCCUGCUUUUGUGGGGUGCUCGAGUGGCGAACGGGUGAGUAACACGUGAGUAACCUGCCCUUGACUUUGGGAUAACUUCAGGAAACUGGGGCUAAUACCGGAUAGGAGCUCCUGCUGCAUGGUGGGGGUUGGAAAGUUUCGGCGGUUGGGGAUGGACUCGCGGCUUAUCAGCUUGUUGGUGGGGUAGUGGCUUACCAAGGCUUUGACGGGUAGCCGGCCUGAGAGGGUGACCGGCCACAUUGGGACUGGGAUACGGCCCAGACUCCUCCGGGAGGCAGAAGUGGGGAAUAUUGCACAAUGGGCGGAGGCCUGAGCCAGCAACGCCGCGUGCGGGAUGACGGCCUUCGGGUUGUAAACCGCUUUCGCCUGUGACGAAGCGUGAGUGACGGUAAUGGGUAAAGAAGCACCGGCUAACUACGUG